GCACUGCUGACGAGUCACAAACAGGACAAAACAGAUGUCCAGUGC
rfam:Echinostoma caproni strain Egypt genome assembly, scaffold: ECPE_scaffold0003981